GAGACUCACCAUCAGCCUGAACAGAGAUGAUCUGAAGUAAGAAGAAGAAGAAGAAGACAGAUCCCACGCCCUGGAGAAAGCUUUGGGGCGGCCAUGAGGAACUGCAGGUUGAAGCUGGGGUCCAUCAGCUGGUCUCUGUCAGCACUCCUGCUCCAGAUAAAUGGGCUUGAAAUUUGAAGCUGGGCAGAAAUGUUCAGUCUGGCAAGAAACUGUGAGCUACCAGAAGCAGAAAUGAGGAGCUGACCCUUCUCACUGCCAGAAGUCCUGGUGUCCUCCAAGGCAAGGUGUAGUCAGCUACAGCCAUGGUCUGAGAAUGAUGAACUUGUGCAGUGUUGGUUUCGGUCUCACAAAAAUGACUCAAGCUCAGGAACUCCUGUGUAAGAAAUUCAAGGAAGUAAGUAACACCACAGCAGUAGAAGUAUUUAAAACAACUUCAUUUGAUGAAUUUGGGAAGAUGAUGCUCUGAUCCUGUUGACUUCAAAAGAAUUGUAGCCUUCUUCCUCUCUUGUAUACCCAUAACUGGCAUAUGAAUCUACAGGCUGAAAACUUGCAGAUAGGUUUUAGAUAGCUUUGAAUUUUCUGUUUAGCCAAAGAAUAGGAAGGGCAGCAGGGUUGGUUGUUUUGCAUUGCCUUGCCAGCGUAACUCGUAAGGAUUGCCCCCAAAAUUAGAAGAAUAGGAAGUUUCUCACUUCAACCUUAACCUAGGCAUAACACAACUACAAAAGUGCAUUUUAUGUCAACAGAAACUCCAUGCUCUGUGUAACAGGAAUGAACAUACAACAUAACAGAAAAGGAAACAGAAAAUUGUAACAUGCAUUGAAUUUAUGUUUCUUUUAUUAGCAAGGUAGCUAAUGGCAUAAAAUGCAGUUUUAACCCUCUAAUACACCAAUAGUUCUGUCCCUAUUUUAAAAAGUGGUGGACACUUUCACUGAGACAGCAAAGAGAUUCCAUGGAACUGAGUAAGUAAUUACAGCAAGACUCACAGACAUUAACAGAGACCUACCAUGACUGCAGCAAUAACUCCAGGUUUCCCUGACACUUGUCAGAGAGAUGAUGACUUUGUUGGCCCUUUGCUGUCCUCAUGAGUUUGGCCAAAGCCGGUGGAGGAAAGGGCAGUAUCUUCUGGAUUUCUAUCUAAAAUUCCUAAGGCCUGUUGGGUUAGUUUUGCUAUAAUUGGCUCAUUUCCUUGUGUUGAUAUAAGUAAAGGCAUGUUGCCACUCUGGCUUCUGUCUUGGAAAAUCUCAGCUUAUAUUCUUGAGUAGAACAUCUUACUGAU